rnacentral:tRNA from 1 species
CACUAAGUGUCUGAAGCAAGUUGUGGUCUCUUAAACCACCUAAAGUAGGUUAGCAAUUACUCUUAGUG